UUAGGGCAAAUGGUUCUCUGGCUCGAUGGGCUGGAUGGAGGGGAACAGUUGAAGGUGUACUCAAGGGAAGCCAGCACCUAUGCGAAAUCGAAGAUCCAGACUGAGUUGCGGCAGAGAAUCGUCAAUUGGCAAAAGGUGGAACCGCCACCCUAGCGGCCCCCUGGCCCCGGCCCCACAAGAAUCGUCAAUGAUAUAGUGGACCUUUUGAUGAGGCAUUUGCCGGUUGAUUUGCCUGUGCAUGAACUUCAGAAUGUUAUUAUUCGGUUCGAGGAGAUGCAUACUACAGUUGCAAAUAAGGCCGAGUAUUUCAGAAAAAUAUCUCAAAGACUUCAGAUAAUUGUGAGUGAGAUUCAACAUCCCAUAUGGCUUGGAGAUAUCAACCAUCCUAUUAACUAGAAUCCUGUAUAUCCAAGCAUGUAGCGUAGAAGUUUUCACUUUCAUCAAGGUUAGGGAUCCUUGACAUGGAUGUGAAUAAUUUUUGCUGGAAAUCAUAGAUCUUUUUUGUUUCCAUUUUUUGUUUUUUGCCCUUUGUAAUCUAAAGCAAAAGGUUUUCUGAGGAUUGAAAGAUUGAUUCUUGUAGGACUCAAAAGCACUAUAGGGGAUGGGAUGAAUAUCGAUCA